rnacentral:rRNA from 1 species
GACGAACGCNGGCGGCGUGCUUAACACNUGCAAGUCGAACGAAGAGCGAUGGAAGCUUGCUUCUAUCAAUCUUAGUGGCGAACGGGUGAGUAACGCGUAAUCAACCUGCCCUUCAGAGGGGGACAACAGUUGGAAACGACUGCUAAUACCGCAUACGAUCUAAUCUCGGCAUCGAGGAUAGAUGAAAGGUGGCCUCUACAUGUAAGCUAUCACUGAAGGAGGGGAUUGCGUCUGAUUAGCUAGUUGGAGGGGUAACGGCCCACCAAGGCGAUGAUCAGUAGCCGGUCUGAGAGGAUGAACGGCCACAUUGGGACUGAGACACGGCCCAGACUCCUACGGGAGGCAGCAGUGGGGAAUCUUCCGCAAUGGACGAAAGUCUGACGGAGCAACGCCGCGUGAGUGAUGACGGCCUUCGGGUUGUAAAGCUCUGUUAAUCGGGACGAAAGGCCUUCUUGCGAAUAGUNAGAAGGAUGACG